rnacentral:misc_RNA from 1 species
GGAAAGUCUGCAACAUAAACCAUAUUGCAAGUUUGUUAAAAUAAUAUCAGUGAUACCAAACAUUCAAUGUACUCCCUCUUUCAUAGAACUGGAUAAAACACCGCUUUUUUUCCAUCAGAAAUAAACAGAGCCUCAAGAAACUUAAAUUUUUUUCAAUAAACAAAUAUCAUCAUUCAAAAUUCGCUAUUCCAGAAUAAGUUUGGCUCUAGGCCUCAAUCAGCCUAUCCUGCUAGAAAAUUAAAAACACAUGCCCAUAGUAAAUCAACAUAUAAAAAUUCUUUCAUGGGUAUAAUACAUGAAAACAAGAAUCAGCCAAAAAUGAUAUCUUUUGCUGUUUCAUGUAGUCAAUUAACAUGUGACAUCUCAAUAACUCAUAUUAAAAAACAAGCAGUUUUCUAAAAUUAUCCAAAAAUCUUACUAUAUGAAGAUUCAUCAACUAGCAUGUGUGGAAAGCAUUCUGGUGUCCAGCAUAGAUAUGCACUAGGUUAUUUACAAGAUUUACAUAGUAAAGUAGGAUAUAAAAAUGUGCUCAUUGUCUUUUUGUUUAUUAUGCCAAUGCAAUGUUAGCAUGACAAAUCUUGACAAACUAAGUGGAAACCUGUGUGUUACUUCAAAUGCUAAAUACAUGUAUUCAAUAAAUAAAAAAUUCAAUAAAACUCACAUUUUGCAUAGAUCUCAUUCACUU